rnacentral:lncRNA from 1 species
ACUUCAGGCCACUCCUGCACCCCGGGACUUUCACUCUGAGAAAUCCUUUACCGUGGAAGCAGGUUAUGCUGUACAAUUGGAGGCAUUGUACUGAUCUCUUCCUACCACACUGAAUAUCGCAUGAUAUCCUGAAAGUGAUCUAGAUGAAGUUGUGCCAACAACAUCAUGACCUGCUGGAUUCCACACUUCCCAGUGCAGCAGAGCCCUGACCUCACUCUCACAUGCCUUAUGUCCCUGGAAUCACGUAACAGCCACCGCCAGGCAGUCAUCGCAGAGAAAACAAGGAAAACACCACGUGGAUUCCCUCGGGAUGAGAUCAGGUGCACGCUGCCAGCUCAAUGGGUCCACCACCCACCAGAGACUCCAGCCCAGUGUCGCAGCCGGCGGGGCGGCACCCACUGCUCUCCCACUCCAGACCUGAUUUCACAUUCACAUGGAGCCACGGUCAGGUGGUCUUCGGUCCCAUAAAGCCUAUGCAUGUAUUUUCCUCAGAGAGCCCACGGAGGAGAGAGAGAUGGCUAAAACAAGAAGAGAUCGGUGGAUGACUACAUCUGCCGGCCAGAAGACCACUCUGAUAGCUUUCAUGAGGAUGACUGCGUCUCCCAGCCAAAAGGCCACUCUGAUAGCUUCCAUGAGGAUGACUGCAUCUCCUGGCCAAAAGACCACUCUGAUAGCUUCCAUGAGCUCUCCCUGGGGCAUCCAUGGAGAAGAUAUUUUUGAGGGAGAAAUCCCCAAUGCUUCUUGAAUCUUGCAGCCCACACAGGGAUUUCCUACAAGCAACCCAGCCUUGAGCUAUAAAGACCUGAUCACUUUCCUGGGUGAAGACAGCAGACUGACUCAGUUAUUCUGUGGAUAGGUGACUUGAUCAAUGAGUUGGCGAGAGUUCUAAGAUGUGUCUUUCAGGCACAUAUCUCAGAUUUGUAAAAUUAUUAUUUAUUUAUUUAAUUCAUUUUUUUUUUUGAGAUGGAGACUCACUCUGUCACCCAGGCUGGAGUGCAGUGGCACAAUCUCGGCUCACUGCAACCUCCACCUCCCAGGUUCAAAUGAUUCUCCUGCCUCAGCCUCCUGAGUAGCCGGGAUUACAGGCACCUGCCACCAUGCCCAGCUAAUCUUUGUAUUUUUAGUAUAGACAGGGUUUCACCAUAUUGGCUGCACUGGUCUCCAACUCCUGACCUCAGGUGAUCCACCUGCCUCAGCCUCCCAAAUUGCUGGGAUUACAGGCAUGAACCACUGUGCCUGGCCUCAGAUUUGUAAGAUAAUUUAAACAAGACUCAGUGUCUCUGCAUCUCACACUGGUUGUAUAUUGCAUUAAAAUGGUGAUAAUUCUCCCCUAAUCAAACUGUGCCCAAUGCUGGCAAGGACACUAAUGUUAUGAAGACAAGAGGUAGCUGAAAAAUAAAGAGACAAUAGCCACGAGACAGACCCAGAGGUCAGGCAGGGCAGGGUUGCCGUGAGGACAUGGCUCGUCCCACAGGACCUGGGAACUGGUGGUCACAGCAGUGCAAGGUCCUGUUCUCUCCUCUGCAGGGACAGACAGGCCACCAGCCUGACAGAGACGGCAUUAGUGGGCAGCUGCCAGGAACUAGCAGGGAUUGCACUAGACUUUAUAGCGCCAUAGUUCAGAAUUGCUGGAUUUGGAGACAAAAUCCAGGUUUGAAUUGUGAUUCUAUUUCUUACUGCUCCGUGUCCUGGGGCAGCCAGGUCAGCUCUCUGAGCCCUAUGGUCUCCAUGGCUGAGUGAGAAUGCCCGCCUCCACUCAGAACCAGCCAGUGUGGUGCCAGCAACCUAUCUAACACAAGCAAAGAGGAUUUCUUAAUGAAAACAUUUUGUCUUGCACAAAACAAUACUCAAUUUAAGAAACAGCAAAUGCA